rnacentral:rRNA from 1 species
GUGGGGAAUCUUGCGCAAUGGGCGAAAGCCUGACGCAGCCAUGCCGCGUGAAUGAUGAAGGUCUUAGGAUUGUAAAAUUCUUUCACCGGGGACGAUAAUGACGGUACCCGGAGAAGAAGCCCCGGCUAACUUCGUGCCAGCAGCCGCGGUAAUACGAAGGGGGCUAGCGUUGCUCGGAAUUACUGGGCGUAAAGGGCGCGUAGGCGGACAGUUUAGUCAGAGGUGAAAGCCCAGGGCUCAACCUUGGAAUUGCCUUUGAUACUUGCUGUCUUGAGUACGGGAGAGGUGAGUGGAACUCCGAGUGUAGAGAUGAAAUUCGUAGAUAUUCGGAAGAACACCAGUGGCGAAGGCGACUCACUGGCCCGUUACUGACGCUGAGGCGCGAAAGCGUGGGGAGCAAACAGGAUUAGAUACCCUAGUAGUCC